GCAACAUUUUCUGUGUUGUCUUCUUCCGUUGCUCUCAAUCAGAGGAAGACGCUCUCACGCACCCUCCCAAACCUCUUUAUCAAGCUAUCAUGGAAAACGUACCAAACCCCGACAAGCAAAUCAACUGUAACGUGGUAGUCAACAUUGAUCCUGGCAACCAAUGCAGUCAACAACCUGCCUUGCCCCAACAACAACCUCAGGUUGUUCAAACUGUUCAACAACCUGCCUUCCAGUUCCAACAAC